rnacentral:misc_RNA from 1 species
AUAUUGGAUAUUAACCCUCUGUCUUAG